AUUGAACGCUGGCGGCAUGCUUUACACAUGCAAGUCGAACGGCAGCGGGGUAGUGCUUGCACUACUGCCGGCGAGUGGCGAACGGGUGAGUAAUAUAUCGGAACGUACCGAGUAAUGGGGGAUAACCAAUCGAAAGAUUGGCUAAUACCGCAUACGUCCUGAGGGAGAAAGCGGGGGAUCGCAAGACCUCGCGUUAUUCGAGCGGCCGAUAACUGAUUAGCUAGUUGGUGGGGUAAAGGCCUACCAAGGCGACGAUCAGUAGCGGGUCUGAGAGGACGAUUCGGCCACACUGGACUGAGACACGGCCCAGACUCCUACGGGAGGCAGCAGUGGGGAAUUUUGGACAAUGGGGGCAACCCUGAUCCAGCCAUGCCGCGUGAGUGAAGAAGGUCUUCGGAUCGUAAAACUCUGUUAUUAGGGAAGAACAAAUGUGUAAGUAACUAUGCACGUCUUGACGGUACCUAAUCAGAAAGCCACGGCUAACUACGUG
rnacentral:rRNA from 1 species